GCUGCAUCCCAACUGGAUUUUUCUUUGUAAAGCUGCGGUGGGGGGGAGUUUACCCCUAUGAUCGGAGUUAUAGGAGUUAUAUUUAUUUGCACAUAUAUAGUGGUUUGAUCUGCUUUUUAUUAUUUUUAUUGUCAGUUGCUCUCAUUUAUCAAAGUGCAUAUUUCUAUAGAUUUCUUUUAUAAAAUGUAAAAAAAUUAAACUCAC